UGAGUGCUGGCUCUCUAACAAACAAAUGCCACAAACAACGGCUUUGAGAUAGGAGAUACCCCAAAAAGUAUCCCCUUUAGCUCAGAAAUUCCCGUAUACCAAAGAAAAAUAAGAAAAACACGAUUGAAGACAAGCAAAUACCACAAGUUUCUUCCCUAUACAUGACAAGCUUCACUGAAUGGUUGAGUUGAGCUUCACGAACCAUUUCAAAGACUCGAGCAUCUCCUCGCUGAGUUGCCAGCCUCGUGUGCGUGAUGGUGGCGGGGGCUGUGAGUGAGUAAUGGAGCGUGUUAUAUCCGCAUUAAUCUUGCGUUAGAGACACGAUCUGGUGGUGGCUCAUGUUUUUGUGGUUGUACUGGUGAUGAGAAGAUAGUGACGGUGUGGUGGAGGCGUGGAGAAGGUAGAUAAAUUGUCUGGUGGACGGAAAAGUGAGGAGAGCGACUCACUACUGUGAUGGAGGAAAUGGACAAGAACAUCCCUUGAUAUUCCGGGCGGCACAGAUCGCCAUCCGCUGCUUCGGUGAGAAACGCCAGAUGAACGUGAGAAAUCCGCUCUACACUCCAGAGCUGGUGCACAUUGCUACAAAGAGAGGACUCCAUUGCAACUCAGGCUUUACCCUUGGGAAAACUGGCAGUUUUAUCCUACUGGAUUCAGCAAGUCCAGCCUGCACUACAACAACACAAACAAGAAAGUGUCUGCCUCUGACAGCUCCGUGACUCCGCCCCCGGCGCCCCGCCGUCCAUGGACUCCAUUGAGUCAGCCCCGUCAUGUUUUCCGCUUUCCUCGCCGUCUCAGCUGUCACGCAGCCCCUGACUCGCCACACAGCGCAGGACACGCUGACACGCUGCGUGUUGUGGUGCGACACACGCGACACACUACCUGCUGUGUACUAGACACUCGCCCCACGUCUAC